rnacentral:piRNA from 1 species
UUAUUUUAUUUUAUAUUUUGUGUGUUGUU